rnacentral:sRNA from 1 species
UUGAAAGUCCUGGAGACUGAAGUCCUCUGUUUAAUCCAUGGAGCAGGUAUAACAAAAGUAGCAGCAGUGCACGCUUCUUAUACAGUACAACCCUGCCAAUAUACCUGAACCCUGACCUAGACCUUGAAAGGUAGUCUGGAAACUACUCCUUGUGCCCUAAAAUAAAUUAAUCCCAGGCACCU